GACGAACGCUGGCGGCGUGCCUAAUACAUGCAAGUUGAGCGAUGAAGAUUGGUGCUUGCACCAAUUUGAAGAGCAGCGAACGGGUGAGUAACGCGUGGGGAAUCUGCCUUUGAGCGGGGGACAACAUUUGGAAACGAAUGCUAAUACCGCAUAACAACUUUAAACAUAAGUUUUAAGUUUGAAAGAUGCAAUUGCAUCACUCAAAGAUGAUCCCGCGUUGUAUUAGCUAGUUGGUGAGGUAAAGGCUCACCAAGGCGAUGAUACAUAGCCGACCUGAGAGGGUGAUCGGCCACAUUGGGACUGAGACACGGCCCAAACUCCUACGGGAGGCAGCAGUAGGGAAUCUUCGGCAACGGACGAAAGUCUGAACGAGCAACGCCGCGUGAGUGAAGAAGGUUUUCGGAUCGUAAAACUCUGUUGGUAGAGAAGAACGUUGGUGAGAGUGGAAAGCUCAUCAAGUGACGGUAACUACCCAGAAAGGGACGGCUAACUACGUG
rnacentral:rRNA from 1 species